CAGGCUGGCCAGGUGGUCGCGGCUCUGUAAGCCAGAGUCGAGGAAAGUCCGCACUCCACAGAGCACGGUGCCGGGUAACACCCGGGGCGGGGGCCUGAGCCUCUCAGGUUACUUGCCGGAUCGGGCCACAGAAACAAUCAGCCGAGCGUGGGAAUUCGAGAUUAGAGAUUCGUCCUUUGACGUUUCUCGAUUCUCUCCUUUCUAUUCUCGGUCAUGGUGAAAAGGUGUGGGCAAUCGCAUAGCGAUUGCUUGUCGCAUAGCGAUUGCUUGAGCGAAACUAUUGGUUUCGCUGUGUAAGAGACCACCGGCGUCCACAGCAAUGUGGGCGGCCAGGCAACCCCCACCGGGAGCAAGGCCAAGCAGGGGCGCAGCCCGCUUCAAGCGGGCCGGAGGCUGCUCGUCUCCCCGCUUCGCAAGAAGCCAAAGCCCCGGGUAGGCUGCUAGAGCUACGUGGAGACACGUAGCCCAGAGAGAUGACCACCCAGGUGGAGCAUUCCACUGGACAGAAUGCGGCUUAUAGGCCGGCCUGAGGA
rnacentral:RNase_P_RNA from 2 species